AUCCAUCAGCAAUGAAACAGGAACCUGAGCUGUUCCUUAGAGGGCACCCCUCUGUAAUCGUGGAGCUGUGUCACCUUCUGUAGAACAUCUGAAUCAUCAUCUGCCAAAGAGCCAACCGACCCGCCAUCCAAGCCCCAAGCAUGAACGUUGGCAAUAUCAACGAUUCAAAGGAUCGAUGUGUGACAAAACGUAACCAACCCUGAGAUGAUACUAAGAGGCACCCUGAUGAACUCCAACCACUGGGUCAUCCUUUGCAGGUGAACCCCUUGGAGAAUCAAACCCUCAAGAGUCCACCAACCGUCUUGCUCAAGCCUUCUGGAGAGACACCCCUACUCCUCGGAAGGGUCAACUGUUCCUCCGCCCAAGUCCAAAGCAUGAACGUUGGCAAUCUCAAGGAUCCGAAGGAUCCAUGUGUGUCAAAACGUAACUAUGAGAUGAUGCUAAGAGGAACUCAAACCAUCUGGGUCAUCCUUUGCAGGUGAACCCCUCGGAGAAGCAAACCCUCAAGAGUCAACCAACCGUCUUGCUCAUGCCUUCUCCAGAUACACCCCUACUCCGCCCAAGAGUUAAUUGACUCUCCGCCAAACAGUUAACCGACCCUCCGCCCAAGCCCAAAGCAUGAACGUUGGCAAUCUGAAGGAUCCAUCCAUGACAAAACGUCAUACUGAGAUGAUGCUAAGAGGCACCAUGAUGAACUCCAACCACUGGGUCAUCCUUUGCAGGUGAACCCCUUGGAGAAGAGAACCCUCAAGAGUCCAUCAACCGUCUUGCUCCAGCCUUCUCCAGAGACACCUCUACCUAAAGACAGAGACCCAAACUACAACUUGAGGAGUAGACUCCAUGGAUGUACCAAAGGUCAACUUACUGAGACAGAGAGUGUCGGAUCUUCAUUCGAGUUCCAGCCCAUCACCAGUGGAGAUGCCUUUUUACGUAAUUUAGUGUUUGUAGCUUUGAGUUUGUAACUACUUGUAUCUGGGAUGGAUCUGAAGGUUUAAUGUAUUUUUAACAAGACAAUGAAGGCUUUUCUUAACGAGCAUCAUUGUCUGCAAGAUUAAUACGUGCACAUCCUGAGUGGUGAUUCAUUCAUACUUUCCUUGUGUGGUGAUUUACCUAUAUUUACCCAUGGUGAA